GAGGUUGUGCCCUUGAGGCGUGGCUUCCGGAGCUAACGCGUUAAGUCGACCGCCUGGGGAGUACGGCCGCAAGGUUAAAACUCAAAUGAAUUGACGGGGGCCCGCACAAGCGGUGGAGCAUGUGGUUUAAUUCGAUGCAACGCGAAGAACCUUACCUGGUCUUGACAUCCACGGAAGUUUUCAGAGAUGAGAAUGUGCCUUCGGGAACCGUGAGACAGGUGCUGCAUGGCUGUCGUCAGCUCGUGUUGUGAAAUGUUGGGUUAAGUCCCGCAACGAGCGCAACCCUUAUCCUUUGUUGCCAGCGGUCCGGCCGGGAACUCAAAGGAGACUGCCAGUGAUAAACUGGAGGAAGGUGGGGAUGACGUCAAGUCAUCAUGGCCCUUACGACCAGGGCUACACACGUGCUACAAUGGCGCAUACAAAGAGAAGCGACCUCGCGAGAGCAAGCGGACCUCAUAAAGUGCGUCGUAGUCCGGAUUG
rnacentral:rRNA from 1 species